rnacentral:lncRNA from 1 species
GUGCAGCAGGCCACUAUUUGAAUGUGUGUUGCUCCUUGUGGCAGGUAUACUGUUCCAAUGCCCUGGGAUCUCUGUAGUGGUCAGUACUGUAUUGAUUAUAAAUGGUGAAGUCCUAGUAUCUUGCUAGAGUGAGCUGGCCAGGAUGGCGGAGCUCUACCACCAUUUCACAGGUUAUAGACAGGGGCCACCAGGUUUCAGGAAAGCAGCAAUGACCCCUCAGUAAUAGUUGGAAAGUGUGAUAUGACACUGAGCUUCACUGUGUUGGUGAAGAAGAGGUGAGGAAAAUAAAAGCUGUAGUUUGCCUCCACCUCUGAAGAAGCACAAUAUACCUUUCUGGGUUACCCAUGGGAUACUUCCCAACGGCUUUGUCAUCACAUACAAUAUUCGCAAACAAGAUCUUAAUGGCAUCCACUUUCUCCAGGAACACAGCCCCUGACCUGUGUGUGUUUAAGUAGAGACAGCAUGCUAUGUACCCCCCAGGAUAUCAAGAUUCCUGUAGCAGAUUGAGCUCUGGCAGUUGAUCUCAGUGGUUUGAUAGAGUGUCAUUAUAAAAAUGCACCUGGAAGAU